rnacentral:rRNA from 1 species
GAGGAGGCAGAAGGGUGAGUACCACGUGGGUAAUCUACCUUAAAGCGGGAAAUAACCUCGGGAAACUGAGGAUAAUGUCCCAUAGGUUUAAAAUACUGGAAUGUUCUUAAUUCAAAAGCUUCUGCGCUUUAAGAUGGGCCCGCGACCUAUCAGGUUGUUGGCGGUGUAAUGGACCACCAAGCCUAAUACGGGUAGGGGCAGUGAGAGCUGAAGCCCCCAGACGGGUACUGAGACACGGACCCGAGCCCUACGGGGUGCAGCAGGCGCGAAACCUCCGCAAUGCACGCAAGUGUGACGGGGGGACUCCAAGUGUUUUCUCUUUUAAAGAGAACUUUUCUUAAGUGUAAAAAGCUUGAGGAAUAAGGACUGGGUAAGACGAGUGCCAGCCGCCGCGGUAAUACUCGCAGUCCAAGUGGUCUGGAGUUUUAUUGGGUCUAAAGCAUUCGUAGCCGGGUUUGUAAGUUCUCUGUGAAAUCUGGCAGCUUAACUGUCAGGCGUGCAGAGGAUACUGCUUAUCUUGGGACCGGGAUGGGUCAAGGGUACUUCUGGGGUAGGGGUGAAAUCCAAUAAUCCUAGGGGGACCACCUGUGGCGAAUGCGCUUGGCUAAAACGGGUCCGACGGUGAGGGAUGAAAGCUAGGGGAGCGAACGGGAUUAGAUACCCCGGUAGUCCUAGCCGUAAAUGAUGCAGACUAGGUGUUGCAUUCUUUUCGUGAGAGUGCAGUGCCGUAGGGAAGCCGUUAAGUCUGCCACCUGGGAAGUACGGUCGCAAGUCUGAAACUUAAAGGAAUUGACGGGG